AUUGAACGCUGGCGGCAUGCUCUACACAUGCCAGUCGAACGGUAACAGGCCUUCGGGUACUGACGAGUGGCGAACGGGUGAGUAAUGCAUCGGAACGUACCCAGAGGUGGGGGAUAACGCAGCGAAAGCUGUGCUAAUACCGCAUGUGAUCUGAGGAUGAAAGCGGGGGACCGAGCAGCAAUGUUUGGCCUCGCGCCUUUGGAGCGGCCGAUGUCGGAUUAGCUAGUUGGUGGGGUAAAGGCCUACCAAGGCGACGAUCCGUAGCUGGUCUGAGAGGACGACCAGCCACACUGGGACUGAGACACGGCCCAGACUCCUACGGGAGGCAGCAGUGGGGAAUUUUGGACAAUGGGCGCAAGCCUGAUCCAGCAAUGCCGCGUGCGGGAAGAAGGCCUUCGGGUUGUAAACCGCUUUUGGCAGUAACGAAACGGUGUCCGCUAAUACCGGGCGCUAAUGACGGUACCUGCAGAAUAAGCACCGGCUAACUACGUG
rnacentral:rRNA from 1 species